AUUGAACGCUGGCGGCAUGCUUUACACAUGCAAGUCGAACGGCAGCGGGGGCUUCGGCCUGCCGGCGAGUGGCGAACGGGUGAGUAAUGCAUCGGAACGUGCCCAUGUCGUGGGGGAUAACGUAUCGAAAGGUACGCUAAUACCGCAUACGUCCUGAGGGAGAAAGCGGGGGAUCUUCGGACCUCGCGCGAUUGGAGCGGCCGAUGUCGGAUUAGCUAGUAGGUGAGGUAAAGGCGAACCUAGGCGACGAUCCGUAGCGGGUCUGAGAGGAUGAUCCGCCACACUGGGACUGAGACACGGCCCAGACUCCUACGGGAGGCAGCAGUGGGGAAUUUUGGACAAUGGGCGCAAGCCUGAUCCAGCCAUGCCGCGUGAGUGAGGAAGGCCUUCGGGUUGUAAAGCUCUUUCGGCCGGGAAGAAAUCGUGUUCUCUAACAUAGGACAUGGAUGACGGUACCGGACUAAGAAGCACCGGCUAACUACGUGCCAGCCGCCGCAGUAACAC
rnacentral:rRNA from 1 species